ACAUCCACACAACCAUGAGCUUUUUCUUUGUUUUUUCUUUCUUUUCUUUUUCUUUGCUCUAUAGUUUCAAGGGUGAUUUCUUUUUCUUGUUUCUAUUCACACUUUCACCCUUUUAUAAAACAUCACUUUUCCAAGUUUCUAAUCAACCCUUUUAAUUUACUCUCCCCAACUUUAGAUUUCAAAACCAAAUUUAUUCAAUAAUGCUCCCUACUUAGACAUAGGCGAAAGACAAAAUUUGUAAACAAACUCAGUUUGAAGGUUCAAUUGAAACGAAAGAAAUUAGGAUUCAUUUAUUCACAAAAU
rnacentral:lncRNA from 1 species